rnacentral:rRNA from 1 species
UACGUAGGGGGCAAGCGUUACUCGGAAUUACUGGGCGUAAAGCGUGCGCAGGCGGCUUUGCAAGACAGAUGUGAAAUCCCCGGGCUUAACCUGGGAACUGCAUUUGUGACUGCAUGGCUGGAGUGCGGCAGAGGGGGAUGGAAUUCCGCGUGUAGCAGUGAAAUGCGUAGAUAUGCGGAGGAACACCGAUGGCGAAGGCAAUCCCCUGGGCCUGCACUGACGCUCAUGCACGAAAGCGUGGGGAGCAAACAGG